ACCUGUGCUCCCCUCCCCCCCGCAGAGAAACCGCGCGUGGUCAGGCUGCGGAUGCUAACCCCCAGCUCCAGUUCUGCCAAAAGCUAGGAACCCACCGGACAGUUCAGAAUUCAGUAAAACGGGGGAAAACGCCAGGAGGGAUGCAGUGGGAACACCUAGCCUUUUGCACCAGGACUCUCCCCGGAAUGUGAAUGUCUGUGUCUCAGGGGGACGUGGCGGAGGCCCCGGGCGAGGAGGGGGUCCGAGCGCGCCACCACCUGCAGUCCGCGCCCCACGACCCCUGCCAGGGCUCCUCUUCCUGCGACCAGCGCUCGGCAACUCCAACCUCACGCCGGGACCAGCCCAGGCGCCCUUCCCAGAAGGCUUUGCAGCGCCGCGGAGAACUCUGGGACACAGAUGGAUAAACAAACCCCAAGCAGGGGCCGAGACCUGGGACCGAGACACUCCGCCGUAAGCCCGCCGAGUGCCUUCUUCAUCCCUUUUGCCUGCUUACCUUUCCUCGCGCUGCCGCCAUCCGGAGCCCCACUAAUGCCAGCAAAGGCCGGGAACAGCGCCAUGGCCACAGGCCGCGCUGCCGUCCCCUCUACAGAAAUGGCGCCGGGGCGCGGACGCCGGUAGUGAGGCCUUAGCUCUCGCGGUGCACUCUGGGAAGUGUGGUUUUUGUGUUGAGAACCGGGAAAAUGCAGAGAGCCCGAGGCGCGGAACCAACCGGGAGCUGGGAUCCUAGUUCGACCCCUGGACGCGUCACAGUGUCACUAACUGGGUCAGAGUAAUCGAACUCUGGCAGCUUCAGUUUCCUCUCCUGCAAAAUGUUCGUAAAGAUUAAACGAGCAUCGUAAGGAA